rnacentral:rRNA from 1 species
AUUCGUAACGAUAGCAAAGAGGAUACACCUGUUCCCAUCCCGAACACAGCAGUUAAGCUCUUUAACGCCGAAGAUAGUGUAAGCGAAAAUAGGUAGUUGCGAAUU